rnacentral:rRNA from 1 species
GGGUCAGUAGGUUGGUCGUGCCACCGGUACGUACUGGUCUCACUGAUUCCUCCUUCCUGAAGAACCGUAAUGCCAUUAAUUUGGUGUUGCGGGGAAACAGGACUGUUACUUUGAACAAUUUAGAGUGUUUAAAGCAAGCUAACGCUUGAAUACAUGAGCGUGGAAUAAUGAAAUAGGACGAUCGAUCCUAUUUUGUUGGUUUCUAGGAUUGACGUA